rnacentral:rRNA from 1 species
AACGAACGCUGGCGGCAGGCCUAACACAUGCAAGUCGAGCGAGGACUUCGGUUCUAGCGGCGGACGGGUGAGUAACGCGUGGGAAUGUGCCCUUCUCUACGGAAUAGCCCUGGGAAACUGGGAGUAAUACCGGAUACGCCCUUUUGUGGAAAGAUUUAUCGGAGCAGGAUCAGCCCUCGUUGGAUUAGGUAGUUGGUGGGGUAAUGGCCUACCAAGCCGACGAUCCAUAGCUGGUUUGAGAGGAUGAUCAGCCACACUGGGACUGAGACACGGCCCAGACUCCUACGGGAGGCAGCAGUGGGGAAUCUUAGACAAUGGGGGCAAACCUGAUCUAGCCAUGCCGCGUGAGUGAGGAAGGCCUUAGGGUUGUAAAGCUCUUUCAGCUGGGAAGAUAAUGACGGUACCAGCAGAAGAAGCCCCGGCUAACUCCGUG